rnacentral:pre_miRNA from 2 species
CACACCUGUAAUCCCAGCACUUUGGGAGGCCGAGGCAGGCGGAUCACUUGAGAUCCGCCUGCCUCGGCCUCCCAAAGUGCUGGUAUUAUAGGCGUGA